rnacentral:lncRNA from 1 species
CAAGAACUGUACAGCAGCAGCAGCAGUUCAGCUGGCAGAGGUGCUGUUGCUGAGCUGGGAGUGGAAAGCACAUUUUCUCUUCAUGAUACAUGGUGUACCUGCACGUGGGAAGGUGAGAGGUGGCGACAGUGGGGGUGGGGACUCCACCAUGGGACCUUUUGAGCUGGGGUCUUCAUCCUUUCCAGCUCCUGGCCCAGAAGGAGUCUCACCAUGGCUUCAUGAUGGCGUCACCAUGGAACCCAAGAACACAGCUGCCACAGGACUGCUCCUACCCUCCCAAGAGCCACUCUUAAACAGCUGCCAAAUGGCAGCCAGCCACCUGGGGUGAAGAGGUGGGCAGUAAAUGGAUGUGGUCCUGGUGAAGUCUUCUAACAAGAUUUCUGACAGUCUUACUCUGUCACCCAGGCUGGAGUGCAGUGCUACAAUCUCGGCUCAUUGCAAACUCUGCCUCCCAGGUUCAAGCGAUUCUCAUGCCUCAGCCUCCUGAGAAGCUGGGAUUACAGGCAUGCGCCACCAUGCCCAGCUAAUGUUUUGCAUUUUUAGUAGAGACGGGGUUUCAUCAUGUUGGCCAGGCUGGUCUCAAACUGCUGACUUCAAGUGAUCUGCCCGACUUGGCCUCCCAAAGUGCUGAGAUUACGGAUGUGAGCCACUGCGCCUGGCCUGCAAGACUCUUUUUUUGUGUGUGUGUGUAUUUCAGUGCUGUAUACUGAAACAGGAAGGAUCUCCAUUAAUGCUGGUAGUACUAGAAGGUAACAUGCAAUGCCAUCUACCCUUCUAUUGACUCUUCAGUACUAUCAAGGAAGAAAAGGAAAAUAACCAGUAGCCUGGAAGAAGCUUUAAGCUCGUUAGAUAAAGUGUGCUGUCCGGAUUUUCCCCAGACCUUCUCUGUCCAUGAUAAACAGAGGGAGAGCUGGGAUAGGUUUUUGAACAAUUGCAUUGCAGCCAUGUUGAUGUGGGUGGUGUAAUGAAAGUUGGAAAAAUCAGAGUGAUUUGAAGAGUAUGUUUGUACUUUAUUUAGUUUUCUGCUUGGAGCUAGCAAACAUUCUCUGCCUAAUAGUACUGGUUAGUUUUGUCAAAGACCAAGAGCAGGGAAAUAUGUCACUGCAGUCUAUGAAUUAUCCAUGCAACUGGGAAGUGUGUUUCUUUACUUAACUUUCUCUAUUCAAA